GUCGGCUAUCGACGAAAACCGAAACGAACGCGCUCGCGCCGAACAUGAUUAAAAUGAACGUUUCAGACGGCCGCGUACACCGUACACCCGCGCGCGUGGCCGAGCGCGCGACAAAACUACCCGCGAAACCCGCGCAAACGAACGCGCGCGUGCCGGGGCGACGGGAUAAACGGCGUCUCCCGAACGUCCGUUGUCGUGUUGUCGUUUUGCCCGUCGCGGUGUUUAGUGCGGGUUUUA